rnacentral:rRNA from 1 species
AAAAUUUAUUAUAAUUUUUUUUUGUUUAAAUUUUAAUUAAAAUAAUAUUAAGUAUUUAAAGUUUAAGUAUAGUUUAUAGAAAAAAUAAUUUGAAUUAUAGUUGAUUUGUAUUGUAAAAGAUAAUUGAAAUAUAAAUAUAAUUUAUUUAAAAGUAAAAUUUAGUUUUUGUACCUUGUGUAUCAGGGUUUAUUAAAUAAAUAUUAUUUAUUAUAAUUUUCUCGAAUUUAAGAGAGCUAAUAAAUUAUUUUUUUUAUUGUAAAAAAAAUAUUUAUAAUAAUUUAUUAGUAAUGAAACGUUAUUCGUUCUUAAAUAUAUCUAGUUUAUUUAGAAAUGAAUUUAAUUCAGAUAUAUAAAUUUUAUUAUGUUAAUUUUUUAAUUUAAUAAUAUAUAUAUAUUAAUAAUUAAAGGGAUAAGCUUUUAAUUAAAAAUUUAUAAAUUAAUAUUAAAAAAAUAAAAAAUGUAAGUUUAGAAAUAUCUAUCAUUUAUAAUUUGUUAUAAUUAAUUUAAUUUAAGUUAAUAUUUUAUAUAUAAUUUUAAAUUUUUUAUAAAUAAGUAAUUUUUAAUAAUUUAAAUUUAGUUAUAAUGAUAAAAUUAGUAUAUAAACAUGUUUAUAUAAUUUAUUAUAAAAGAUUAUAUAAAGGAAUUCGGCAAAAAUUUUACUCGCCUGUUUAACAAAAACAUGUCUUUUUGAAGUAUAUAUAAAGUCUAACCUGCCCACUGAAUAAUUUUAAAUGGCCGCAGUAUUUUGACUGUGCAAAGGUAGCAUAAUCAUUAGUUUCUUAAUUAGGAGCUUGUAUGAAAGGUUGGACGAGGUAAAAUCUGUCUCUAUAUAAAUUAAAAUAGAAUUUAAUUUUUAAGUUAAAAAGCUUAAAUUUUUUUAAAAGACGAGAAGACCCUAUAGAACUUUAUAGUUAGACUAAUUAAAUUAAUUUUGAUUAUUUUAGAUUUAUUUAGUUUAAUUAUUUUAUUGGGGUAAUAGAAAGAUUUAAUUAAUUCUUUUUUUGUAUAACAUUAAUUUAUGAUUUUAAUGAUCCAUUAUUAUUGAUUAUAAGAUUAAGUUACCUUAGGGAUAACAGCGUAAUUUUUUUAGAGAGUUCAUAUCGAUAAAAAAGUUUGCGACCUCGAUGUUGGAUUAAAGAUUAAUUUAGGUGUAGAAGUUUAAAUAUUUGGUCUGUUCGACCAUUGAAUCUUUACAUGAUCUGAGUUCAGAUCGGCGUAAGCCAGGUCGGUUUCUAUCUUUAAAUAAUUAAAAUAUUUUAGUACGAAAGGACCAAAUAUUUGAUAUAUUAAUAUUUAUUUUUUUGAAUAUUAU